rnacentral:rRNA from 1 species
UGAGGAAUAUUGGUCAAUGGACGCAAGUCUGAACCAGCCAAGUAGCGUGCAGGAUGACGGCCCUAUGGGUUGUAAACUGCUUUUAUGCGGGGAUAAAGUGUGGGACGUGUCCCAUAUUGUAGGUACCGCAUGAAUAAGGACCGGCUAAUUCCGUGCCAGCAGCCGCGGUAAUACGGAAGGUCCGGGCGUUAUCCGGAUUUAUUGGGUUUAAAGGGAGCGUAGGCCGUCGUUUAAGCGUGUUGUGAAAUGCCGCGGCUCAACCGUGGCACUGCAGCGCGAACUGGAUGACUUGAGUUCGCGGGAGGUAGGCGGAAUUCGUGGUGUAGCGGUGAAAUGCGUAGAUAUUAGGAGGAACACCAGUGGCGAAGGCAGCGUACCGGCGCCGACUGACGCUGAGGCACGAAAGCGUGGGGA